GACAGAGGGUGCAAACGUUGCUCGGAAUCACUGGGCGUAAAGGGCGUGUAGGCGGGCAGAUAAGUCGGGCGUGAAAUCCCCAGGCUCAACCUGGGAACUGCACUCGAAACUGUUUGUCUUGAGUAUCGGAGAGGAAAGCGGAAUACCUGGUGUAGAGGUGAAAUUCGUAGAUAUCCGGAGGAACACCGGUGGCGAAGGCGGCUUCCUGGACCGAUACUGACGCUGAGGCGCGAAAGCCAGGGGAGCGAACGGG
rnacentral:rRNA from 1 species